CGUAGUUGUGCGCAGGGAUAAUAGCGGGGUUAAACAUAUAUUCUUAAGGUUCUAUGUUCAUAACCGAUAAUUUGAUUUCUUGUCCCCUUAAGGUCACAACUUCUGGAAUAAAAGGGAAUCGUGACGGGAUAUUUCUGUCAUGUGUCCUUAAGGGGUUAAAGAAAGUGGUAAGGCGAAAAUGCCACCGCUGUAUCUGGACAUGGCCUGCGCA